UUUGAUCCUGGCUCAGGAUGAACGCUGGCGGCGUGCUUAACACAUGCAAGUCGAACGAGAAACUUGGUAUUUAUAUCGAGUGGACAGUGGCGGACGGGUGAGUAACACGUUGGUGACCUGUCCCGAAGAGGGGGACAACCGUGGGAAACGACGGCUAAUACCCCAGAUGUCGAGAAGUUUAGACGCUCUUGACUAAAACUCCGGUGCUUCGGGAGGGGCCUGCGGGCUAUCAGCUAGUUGGUGGGGUAAAGGCCUACCAAGGCAAAGACGGCUAGGGGGCGUGAGAGCGCGACCCCCCACAAUGGGACUGAGACACGGCCCAUACUCCUACGGGAGGCAGCAGUGAGGAAUAUUGCACAAUGGGGGAAACCCUGAUGCAGCAACGCCGCGUGGAUGACGAAGGCCUUAGGGUCGUAAAAUCCUUUUCUAAAGGAAGAAGAUGACGGUACUUUAGGAAUAAGUCCCGGCUAACUACGUGCCAGCAGCCGCGGUAAAACGUAGGGGGCGAACGUUAUCCGGAUUUACUGGGCGUAAAGCGCGCGUAGGCGGCUGUGUAAGUUGGACGUGAAAGCCUUUGGCUUAACCAAGGGAGGUCGUUCAAAACUGCAUAGCUUGAGGAUGGGAGAGGAGAGUGGAAUUCCCGGUGUAGUGGUGGAAUGCGUAGAUAUCGGGAGGAACACCAGUGGCGAAGGCGGCUCUCUGGACCAUACCUGACGCUGAGGUGCGAAAGCGUGGGGAGCGAACAGGAUUAGAUACCCUGGUAGUCCACGCCGUAAACGAUGGAUACUAGUGUAGGGCGUGGUAAACACACACUGUGCCGAAGAAAACGCGAUAAGUAUCCCGCCUGGGGAGUACGGCCGCAAGGUUAAAACUCAAAGGAAUUGACGGGGGCCCGCACAAGCAGCGGAGCGUGUGGUUUAAUUCGAUGAUACGCGAAAAACCUUACCUGGGUUUGACAUGUUGGUAGUAGGGAAGCGAAAGCGGAACGACCCUUCGGGGAGCCAUCACAGGUGCUGCAUGGCUGUCGUCAGCUCGUGUCGUGAGAUGUUGGGUUAAGUCCCGCAACGAGCGCAACCCUCGUUGCUAGUUACAUGUGUCUAGCGAGACUGCCGGUUUCAAACCGGAGGAAGGUGGGGAUGACGUCAAGUCAGCAUGGUCUUUAUAUCCAGGGCUACACACACGCUACAAUGGCCAGUACAACAGGUUGCCACACCGCGAGGUGAAGCUAAUCCCUAAAGCUGGUCUCAGUUCGGAUUGCAGUCUGCAACUCGACUGCAUGAAGGUGGAGUUGCUAGUAACCGCCGUCAGCAAUAGUGCGGUGAAUGCGUUCCCGGGCCUUGUACACACCGCCCGUCACAUCAUGGAAGUUGGUAACACCUGAAGUCGGUGACCUAACCGCAAGGAGGGAACUGCCUAAGGUGGGACCGGUAACUGGGAUGAAGUCGUAACAAGGUA
rnacentral:rRNA from 1 species